rnacentral:rRNA from 1 species
GACGAACGCUGGCGGCGUGCUUAACACAUGCAAGUCGAGCGGUAAGGCCCUUUCGGGGGUACGCGAGCGGCGAACGGGUGAGUAACACGUGGGUGACCUGCCCUCAGCUCUGGGAUAAGCCUGGGAAACCGGGUCUAAUACUGGAUAUGACUCCAUGACGCAUGUUGUGGGGUGGAAAGCCUUGUGCGGCUGAGGAUGGGCCCGCGGCCUAUCAGCUUGUUGGUGGGGUGANGGCCUACCAAGGCGACGACGGGUAGCCGGCCUGAGAGGGCGACCGGCCACACUGGGACUGAGACACGGCCCAGACUCCUACGGGAGGCAGCAGUGGGGAAUCUUGCGCAAUGGGCGAAAGCCUGACGCAGCGACGCCGCGUGAGGGAUGACGGCCU